UUUAGAUGCAGACGGUGAACUUUAUACUUAUGAGUGCAGUUGUGACAACGGUAGAACCAGUCCUUAACGAGCUCGGGAGAAAAGGAAUGCCGUUACCACUUACACCUAAAAUACAGUUGGAAAACAGUACUGUUCAUUUAAUUGAGAAUGCUAUUGUCAUAGGGAGCGACGGAACAUAUAACGGAACAAAUGAUUAAAUCAUUUUUCAGAUCGAUUGAUAUAUUUAGUGGCGCUUUGUUAAUCAACAUACCUAAGGUUCUGAAGGCGAAUUAAAAACUCUUCGAAAUACAAGAAUUCAAAACUCUGUUUAAAACUUGUAGUAUACAUAUUAAUGUGAAAAUUAAACAAAAGAAAAUA